ACGGUAACAGGUCUUCGGACGCUGACGAGUGGCGAACGGGUGAGUAAUACAUCGGAACGUGCCCAGUCGUGGGGGAUAACUACUCGAAAGAGUAGCUAAUACCGCAUACGAUCUGAGGAUGAAAGCGGGGGACCUUCGGGCCUCGCGCGAUUGGAGCGGCCGAUGGCAGAUUAGGUAGUUGGUGGGAUAAAAGCUUACCAAGCCGACGAUCUGUAGCUGGUCUGAGAGGACGACCAGCCACACUGGGACUGAGACACGGCCCAGACUCCUACGGGAGGCAGCAGUGGGGAAUUUUGGACAAUGGGCGAAAGCCUGAUCCAGCAAUGCCGCGUGCAGGAUGAAGGCCUUCGGGUUGUAAACUGCUUUUGUACGGAACGAAAAAGCUCCUUCUAAUACAGGGGGCCCAUGACGGUACCGUAAGAAUAAGCACCGGCUAACUACGUGCCAGCAGCCGCGGUAAUACGUAGGGUGCGAGCGUUAAUCGGAAUUACUGGGCGUAAAGCGUGCGCAGGCGGUUAUGUAAGACAGAUGUGAAAUCCCCGGGCUCAACCUGGGAACUGCAUUUGUGACUGCAUGGCUAGAGUACGGUAGAGGGGGAUGGAAUUCCGCGUGUAGCAGUGAAAUGCGUAGAUAUGCGGAGGAACACCGAUGGCGAAGGCAAUCCCC
rnacentral:rRNA from 1 species